GCAAGCACAAAACGUGAUGAUCAUCUUCUUCAUGAAAGAAAAGUUUCAAAUGUCCAUAACUUUUUCGUUUCUCAUCGGAAUUGCGUGAUUCUUGCGGCCACGGAACGAGAAAAGGAUCCUCUACGGAUUUAUGGUUCCAAUUUGAGAUGUUUAAGAGCUUGGAUGGAGAAAUUUUAAUGGUGAAUCAUGAACAUAGACCUUCGGCUUUGGGACUUCAACCAAGACCCGACGAGGCGAUUACCAACGAAGCUCGAAAUGUAAAGAUCGAGGUUAACGCUUUGCUGGUUUGAAAUAUCUUGAUAGCAAGUGGGAUUGCAUGAUAUGAUUUGGAAAUUCAAGCUUCCGAAGUUUAAAUUCUCGGAAGUCAUUUGCACAAGAAGUGAAAGAAGGUUUUCAUUCUAGCGGUCCGCAGUAGUCUAGAUGUUUUUGUCUAUGUAUUUAUAUAGCGCAUUUUAACUCUGAUGUUUUGUAAAAUGGGGUCACAUGUAUUUUGAUAUAUGAAACAUGAUUUGAUUUG